GACGAACGCUGGCGGCGUGCCUAAUACAUGCAAGUCGAACGCAGUGGGGACGGGUGAGUAACACGUGGGUAACCUCCCAUCAGAGGGGAUAACACUUGGAAACAGGUGCUAAACCGAUACUGAUGGAUGGACCCGCGGUGCAUUCGCUAGUUGGUGAGGUAACGGCUCACCAAGGCCACGAUGCAGAGCCGACUUGUGAGGGGGAUCGGCCACGAUGGGACGGAGACAAGGGCCAGAAUCCUACGGGAGGCAGCAGGAGGGAAUCUUCGGAAAUGGUCGAAAGUCUGACCGAGCAACGCCGCGUGAGUGAUGAAGGUUUUCGGAUCGUACAACUCUGUUAAUCGGGACGCGGUACCGGAAUAGAAAGCCACGGCUAACUACGUGCCAGCAGCCGCGGUAAUUC
rnacentral:rRNA from 1 species